GGCUACUAUUUUAAUUUUGAGAUUUCAAAUGUCCAAAGUACAAAACUCAUUUAUUAAGUUUAUAACUAAGCUCGUUCAUGAAAAAAAAUCUCAUGUAUAAAACGUAUAUGUUGUGAAGCUUAUCUUGUUUGGACCCAUGAACAAGACUACAAUAAAAAUCGUCCAUGGUACACAAAGUGUCAACUUUUCACAUGUGACUUGGAGAAAAAAAGAACAUAUUUCAAGUAGUAUAUAUAUACAGAUUUUUGUGGCUAUUACAAGAUAAAAAAGAAAAUAGAAAAAAUUUACCAAAACAAAAAGAGAGAACUAAUUUACUCGUAAUUAAAUUAGCUCCAGUCCUCUUUCCAAAAAAAAAAUAAAAAAAUAAAUAAAUAAAUUAGCUCCAGUCCUCAUUCUGGAAAUGAGAAAAUUAUUUUUCAAAUGGUUAUUGUUUUUAUUCGUUGUAGCGGCGGUUCUAUUUCAAGUAAAUGGUUUUGCUACAAUUGCUAAUGAUGACGAGCCAAAAGAGUGGUGGCUAAGCAGGAGCGAAAGUGGUGAUUGGAAAUUUACUACCAUCGAUGGCAAAAACACGGCUACUGCUAGGGUUAGAAGACUGGCACGCAGGAUAUACCCACAGCCAUCACCUCAGCGGAAUGAAGAGGAUCAUCAAAUAAUAAAAUUCAAAUUCCGAAAUUGAAAUUCUACAUUUUAAAUUCAAAUCAUUUGUUUGGAAAAUAUGAUGAUUUCAAAUUUAGGAUUUCAAAUUCAAAUACUUGUUUGGGAAACAAGAUAAUUACAAAUUCUAGUUGUUGUUUGGGAAACAAUGGAAUUUUAAAUUCUAAAUUUCAAUACCUAAGUUCCAAGACUUCCAACUAAACUCUAAUUAUCGCUAAACUUACAACACUACUACUCAUCUAUACGCAAAAUUAUAGAUCCAAUCUGAUUUUUGAUUAUCCGGUAAAUUUUUCAGCAUGUCAAAUUCAUCGAGGGUGCCAUUUACAAAUCUCUUAACCGCCCUCAAAACUUGGUGUCCAGAUAUUCCAAGUACACUAGACACCUCCUUGUAGAUUCUUGACUAGUUGGCCUUGUUGAUUUACUCACGACUCCUUGAAAGAUUCGGCAAAAAAAAUAAAAUAAAGGAUAUGUUGAAAGGGUCAAAAGUCAAGACGACAUAAACAGUCCUACUUGUACUUCAUGAUGACCAGGUCAAUUAACACGACUAGUCUGACCUUUGGGUGUAAAUAAAAAUAAUAUUAAGUCAAAUAUUUGCAUUCAACUUAGAAAAAAACAGAAAAUGCUGGCUAGUACAAGAUUACAGAAAUAAACAUACUAAAAUCAAAGAGAUAUAAACUAAUCAAGCGAGCUCUUUAUUUAUAAAUACAUACAAAGUAUACGUUAUAUUUAUUUAAUCUAGAUAUGAUCACAUUAUUUCUCAAAUGGUUGUUUUUAUUGUCCAUCCUAGCAGGAGUCUUCUUUCAAGUUAAUGGUUUUGCAACAUCGGGUGCCUCUUCAUUUGCUAAUGAUGUUGGACCAAAAAGAUGGCAGCUAAGCAAGAGCGAAGGUGGUGAAUGGAAAUUUGUUAGGGUCGGAAAUUAUCAAGGCAAAAACAAAGCCACUGCUAGUUUUAGAAGGUUGGCACGCGACAUAGGUGGAGGCUCACAACCAUCACCUCAGCGGGCACUAGAGCAUAUUCCUCAUUAGGGGUGUAAAUUAAAUGAGCCUAGUGUCUCGAUAAACUAAUCGGGAUCAAACUAGAUUGAAGCUCGUUCAUGUUUGUUUAUUUAAUAAAUUGAUUGAGUUUGAACAAAUUUUAAAGCUCGAUUAAUAAAUGAGAUUGAAUACGAACAUAGAUAUAUUUGUGUUCAAUCUAGCUCAUAGAUAUAUUUGUGUUCAAUCUAGCUCAGCUCGUUUUUUCAUGGCUUCAUUAGUUUACACAAAUCCUUGCGCGAACAAGGUCUAGCUUGGUAUCGAACAAAUCCACAAUGAAUUCUUCAACUAACGGGUUUAAGCCGCAUUCCUAUCAUCAGUGGAUAGGUUUGCCAUUUCAGAUGAUAAAUAGGGGUAGAAUUGUCAUUUCAUUUUAUAAAUGGAGGUAGUAGUACAUGCAUUUGUAAUUUAAUUGUAAAAGUUGUUAUUCUUCAUUAUAUACAAAUACAAUAUGUAGUAGUACAUGGAUUUGAAACUAUUUUGUAUAAAAAAAAACUCCAAAAUCAAA